GGGGCUGUUUUGGUUUCGACAUUUAAAACUUAUUAAUGUAUGAUGCAGGUCGAAGUUUGUAAUCUUCGUACUAAAAUACAACAUUUCAAAAUAACUGCUAAAAAUUUAAUUUUAUCAUUGGUUAGUCUUUUCGGAUUUAAAACAAACAAAAAUCAGCUUCAAUUUGCUAUUUAAAUGUUCUAAAUCAAACAAUUUUUCACUAAGACUAGACGUUUUACUCUAAUCUAGUUUAGAAUAAUUUAUAUUAACAAUUCUGUUCAUUGAAACUAUGCCUGUGAACGAGUACAUUAAAGAUUUUUAAAUGGACGUGGGUUCAAUUCCCAUCAGCUCCA
rnacentral:tmRNA from 1 species